UCUGGCACCUUUGGUGUCCGAGUUGUAAUUUGAAGAAAGUAACUUUGAUGCUGGCUCUCGUCUAUGUUCCUUGGAACAGGACGUCACAGAGGGUGAGAAUCCCGUGCGAUGAGAUGCCCAGUAUCAUGUAAAGUGCUUUCGAAGAGUCGAGUUGUUUGGGAAUGCAGCUCUAGUGGGUGGUAAAUUCCAUCUAAAGCUAAAUAUUGGCGAGAGACCGAUAGCGAACAAGUACAGUGAUGGAAAGAUGAAAAGAACUUUGAAAAGAGAGUGAAAAAGUACGUGAAAUUGUUGAAAGGGAAGGGCUUGAGAUCAGACUUGGUAUUUUGCGACCUUUUCCCUCGUGGAAGGGGCCCCCGCAGUUUACUGGGCCAGCAUCAGUUUGGAUGGCAAGAGAAUGGCAUUGGAAUGUAGCUCUACCUCGGUGGAGUGUUAUAGACUUUGCAGAUGUUGCCUAUCUAGACCGAGGACUGCGUCUUUUGACUAGGAUGCUGGCGUAAUGAUCUUAAGCCGCCCGUCUUGAAACACGGACCAAGGAGUCUAACGUCUAUGCGAGUGUUUGGGUGUAAAACCCGUACGCGUAAUGAAAGUGAACGUAGGUGAGAGCCCUUUGGGUGCAUCAUCGACCGAUCCUGAUGUCUUCGGAUGGA
rnacentral:rRNA from 1 species